AAAUUAAGUUGUAGAUUCUGAAGAUUAACGCGUCAGAUUUAGAGAUAAUCUCAGAAAAAUAUAAACUGUUGAUCUAGCUAUGUUUAGGAUUGUUAACACACCGUUCUAGAACUCAAAUCACUAAUAUAGAGCAACUGAUCGAUGUUAGCCCGCAUUACUCACUAUACCUAAUAAUUAAGGAUUCCGACGUUAGCCCGCAAAUCCCUAAUUCUAAACAUGCAUUACUAUUAGGUUUGAUUAGUUCACCUAAGUAUCUAGACCGACGUUAGUACACAUCUUAAAUACUAGGCUCAUCUAUAACAGUUCUAGCAAUAAGCAGCCUUUUAGAAUUUACCUAUUACCUAAGAUCAAGUUCUAGGUGAUCAAUCUAGAACUAGUAGUAAUAAUAAUUAAGAUGAAGAACUCAAAAAAUAAUCCUAACAGGUUAUCGAUCUACUAAUCCAUCUAAAUCCCUAUUGAUACCCUAAACCCAACAAGGUGACUACUCAGUCAUGAUUAAAGGAGCACAAAUCAUAAUCUGAAUAAAUUGCAUUGAAUUAUGAUAAAAGAUAGAGAUAAAGGAGUUCAGUUGCUUCUCUCCCAAAGUAUAAAUCUCUCACACAGAACUUGCUUAGGUCUAAACAAUGAUCUUAAAUAU
rnacentral:sRNA from 1 species